rnacentral:misc_RNA from 1 species
GAUGAAGAACGUAGCGAAAUGCGAUAAGUAAUGUGAAUUGCAGGAUUCAGUGAAUCAUCGAAUCUUUGAACGCACAUUGCGCCCGCUAGUAUUCUGGCGGGCAUGCCUGUUCGAGCGUCAUUUCAACCAUCAAGCCCUGUUUAGGCUUGUGUUGGGGCCCUGCGGCUGCCGCAGCCCCCUAAAUGCAGUGGCGGGCUCGUUGUCACUCCGAGCGCAGUAGCGUAUCUCGCUCUGGGCGUGGCGGCGGGUGCUAGCCGUGAAACACCCACUAAGGUUGACCUCGGAUCAGGUAGGAAUACCCGCUGAACUUAAGCAUAUCAAUAAGCGGAGGA